UUGCAGGGAGAAAAACUGAGAAGUUCCAUAUGCACAAUUGCUGUGGUAGGAGUCGAGGAGCCUUUCCAUAUAUUGGAUCAGGACACUGUUCAGAAGUUGAUUGAUGCAUUUGAGAUCGUGGGGCAGGACGAGCCUCCUGCUGCUGAACCUGAUGUUGCUACUGAGCCUGGACCAGCUGCAGAAGAGGGAGCUGGUGCUGGCGAUGGUGCUGGCCAGGGUGCUGUUGCUGAACCAGAUGUAGCUCCAAUGGAUAUUUGAGGAUGCUAGAAUCAGUUGUCUUUCGACCCUUUCAGUGAGGUUUUCGAUCAUGUGUUUCUUAUGAGUAUGGAUGGUAUUGUAUAAGAUAACAAUUUAUUGUUGAACCUUUGCCCUUCCUUUUUCU
rnacentral:lncRNA from 1 species